ACUCCUUCAAUGCACGCACAUACGUGCCC
rnacentral:sRNA from 1 species